rnacentral:rRNA from 1 species
UGGGGAAUAUUGCACAAUGGAGGGAACUCUGAUGCAGCGACGCCGCGUGAGUGAUGAAGGAAUUCGUUUCGUAAAACUCUGCUCUAUGGGAAGAAAAGGACUGUACCAUAGGAGAAAGCUCCGGCUAAAUACGUGCCAGCAGCCGCGGUAAUACGUAUGGAGCGAGCGUUGUCCGGAAUUAUUGGGCGUAAAGGGUGCGCAGGCGGCUUUACACGUUGGAUGUGAAAUAUUGUGGCUCAACCACAAACGUGCAUCCAAAACUGCAAAGCUUGAGUUAAGGAGAGGUAAGUGGAAUUCCUGGUGUAGCGGUGGAAUGCGUAGAUAUCAGGCGGAAUACCGGUGACGAAGGCGACUUACUGGACUUAAACUGACGCUCAGGCACGAAAGCGUGAGGAGCAAGCAGG